rnacentral:ncRNA from 2 species
UAGCGUCUUCAGGGCGGGGUGUGAUUCCCCACCGGCGGUAUAGCCCGCGAGCCGUAAGGCUGAUUCGGUUGAAUUCCGAAGCCGACAGUAUAGUCUGGAUGAAAGAAGAUAGAU